rnacentral:lncRNA from 1 species
UCAUACAUUGUUUACUGGUUAGGCCCAGAUCACUGUAUUAACAUGCAUCAUAGCUCAUAAGCUACAACAAUCAUUAAAAAAUAUUGAUUCAUUCAUAUAUUACCAUGUCCACAACAGUUACAUUGAACAACAAAGUACAAAAUUGACCUAGCUCAUAACCAUUUGUUUUGAUAGUCAUUUUACAACUAAUUCUAAGAACAACUACAUUUGAACAAAAAGAUUUCAUCCCUAGGGAGUCUAAAUAAGAAAACAUAUGAUCACUUCAAUUGGCUUGCUGUCGAGAAGGUGCUACCUGAAAAUCAAUAUGAAUAUGGGAUAAGUCAGUUUGCAGCAAAGAUUCUAAAAGAAAUGCUAUCUGUUUAUUAUCAAGCUAUACACAUAUUUUUGAGAGUACAACAUGAGAAUAACUCAUGGUUAAAAAGAGAACAGCCACACGGACACACACAACCAAUAAGGACAAGUAGUCCACAAGUAAAUUAGAAAAAAGCAGCAUUUCAUAACUAUUUGAAGGUUUUGAGUGUAGAUGGAUUCAAGCAAAUCCUAAAUACUACUCUCUAAUAAUUGAGAUUCCUGCCUACUCCUAGAUUCCCAUUAAACUUCACAUUGUGAAGCACAAGCAGUAAUAAUUCAGCAAAGCACGCAUGACAUAUCUAUUUAAGGGCAGCAGCAGUAAGAUUGCUACUCUGCCCUUGUGCAAAACACAAAUGCAGUUGCACAAGUUACUGAUGGAUGCAGUGCUUAUCUGCUUACCUUGUCUCCUGCCACUCUCUGAAAACCAGAAAAAAUGUGAACUGAUGGCCACUGAGAAGUAUAGGAACAAAUGGUCUACACUAGUCCUCAGCGAGCUCCAAGACUUGUAACAGGAGCUACACCUACAAUCCAAAUGAGAGAGCAAAGCAGUACAUUGUUGCUGAAAGAGAAACUGUAAAAGAAAAUAGAUCUCAAACUGGGCAUAAAGUUCCUAUUAAUGAAGAUAUCAUGUUCUAGAAACCACAUAAUUGCACAAUCUGCAGUUAUAGAUUAGCUAUCCAAACAAUACUAUGAUCCCUUGCAUGAAGUCUAAGUCUAAAAAUUAACAACUAGCAAAACAUAUAUAGAAAAUUGCACAAUUUAUAUAGUAGAUAGCUAGAUUAUAAAAUUAUCAAAAAAUUUCUUUGGUCAGGCAAGCACAUUUGAUAGAACAAACAAACUGCAAAACAAGAUACUACAUCUUACUGCUAAUUGUGAGAGACGGAGGGAGAGAUGAUCCAGUACACACCUUGCUUGGAUUAACAAACAAAUAAAAAACUGGAUAACUGAAUAUUCCAAGAACUCAAUACAUAGCAGCACCAAUGGAUAACCUAAUAGUCUGAAAUAUUGAAAAAUCACCUACAAGUGUCCAACAGAUAUACCCUUACUACUGUAGAUCAUGUUUUUUCCCUCUUUACUCACAAUCAUGUUUCCUCACUACUUUGCACUAAAUCCACACUUUUACUACCAGAUCUACCAAAAACAAACAAAAGCUAUAUAUCAGCACAAUACUUGAGUCUAUAAAGAGAGGAUUUUGGUUCUAGAUGGUUGCUCGCCAGGGUUCGAAGCGAUUUCCCCUCCCAAAUAAAUUAAAACCCUAGAUCGGAGAGAAGCAGGUUAUGAUCUAUUAGAACUGUAGGAAAGGGAUGAACUAAAAUUAAACCUCAGAUCUAAUACAGGAAUGAAAAAAGAGGAAAGAAACAACCUGCCACUGGCUUGCCAUAGAUUCGCCGUGUCCAUCCCCAAACCACGGCCUCGCUUCGGCGGGCUGCCUCCAUCCCCAAACCACGGCGGCGGUUCCUAGCUAGCGGUGCUUCCCCGUGAGCCUCAGGUCGUGGAUCUCCCAAGCCCGCGGUGGCCUCAUGCCUACACUAGCAAGAAUCUGAGGCACUGCAGAUCCAGGCCGACCCCCUUCAACUGCAGCUCCAGGCGGAGCAGAAAGAAUGAGUUGUGAUGAUUCAAGUUACCUGCUCCACAAACCACUUCUACUCUGUACGCUUGAGUGGCGCCUUGCCCUGUUGGUGCUGCUGCGGCGCUGCUAGCCCACGGUCACUCGGCGUGCUAGAGCCUGGAUUCUAGAGCGGGGGACCACUGGAGCCGACACGACGACAUGCCGACACCCACCUGCCUUCCUGCCGCUGAGAAGCCGUGUGCUCGGCCAAGGAGAGGACCCGUGGGUCGCGGCCAGGGAGAGGGGACUGGGUCGCGGACUCGCAGCCAAAGGGAGGGGUGGAGGGCGUCGCGCACUCGACACUCGUGCUCGCGCCGUCGGGUUAGAAGUACGGGAAAACACAACGAAGGAGAGGCGGCGCUACUCGGGAGGAAG